rnacentral:rRNA from 1 species
GACGAACGCUGGCGGCGUGCCUAAUACAUGCAAGUCGAACGCAGUGGGGACGGGUGAGGAACACGUGGGUAACCUCCCAUCAGAGGGGAUAACACUUGGAAACCGGUGCUAAACCGAUAUUGAUGGCUGGACCCGGGGGGCAUUAGCUAGUUGGUGGGGUAACGGCUCACCAAGGCCACGAUGCAUAGCCGACCUGAGAGGGUGAGCGGCCACACUGGAACUGAGACACGGCCCAGACUCCUACGGGAGGCAGCAGUAGGGAAUAUUCGGCAAUGGACGAAAGUCUGACCGAGCAACGCCGCGUGAGUGAAGAAGGUUUUCGGGUCGUAAAACACUGUUGGUGGAGAGGCGGUAUCUAACCAGAAAGCCACGGCUAACUACGUGCCAGCAGCCGCGGUAAUUC